rnacentral:lncRNA from 1 species
AUUUAAAUCACAAUCCAAUAUAUAUAUAUCAACCAAACUCAUUUAUAAUAAUACUCACAAUUUAACUAUUAAUGAACACCACAUUUUAAAUCAAACCAUAACAUAUAUUUACAUGAUGAUUCCAUAUUUCAUAGGUCGUCUAUACAUGCCAUAAUUUUCCGGAACAAUAGUAGCAAAAUACCCCAAGUGUGAAGGAUAGUGUGGAUGAUUGUCUGACUUCGUUCCAAAUUUCCGAGUUGUCGGAAGUCACUAUAAUCAAGGGAAAAAUAAAAUCGAGUAAGCAUAUAGCUUAGUAAGUAAACACAUGAUAAAUAAGUAAUUACUCACAUAACUACACCAAAAUAUAAACUUAUUCAUGAAUAACUUCAUUGUUUAGGCAAUUUCCAGCAAACUGUUUUUCUGCAUCAUAGUCGCUAAUUUAUUUUUAUCCGGAGCUACAGGGCUCCAAAUUGAGUUUCGUAAAUUUUCCCUGAAACUAGACUCAUAUACCAUUUCACCAUAAAAAUUUUAGAAUUUUUUACCCAGCCAAUUAGUACAGUUUAUUCAUUAAAACUUCCCCUGUUUCACUGCCCAACGGUUCUGACCCUUCCUCAAAAAAAUUCACUUAACUCUCUGUACAAAAUUUUAAAAAUGGUUUCGCUUGUUUUUAUUAAAAAUAGAGUCAAUAAGGAAUCCAGGAAUAUAAAUUUCACACCAUAAUUAUUUUUGUACAAUUUUUGGUGAUUUUCCAAAGUUAGAACAGGGGAUCCCGAAAUCAAUCCAGACCUGUUUCAGAAAAAUUCAGAUAUCUCCAAAAAUACAACUCUUUUGCUUAUUCUAUUUAUUUCAUAUGAAAAUAGACACAUUCAGCUUCAAUUUCAUAUAUUAUUCAGCUUCCCAUUCAUUUUCCAUCAUUUAUGGUGAUUUUUCAAAGUUACCCAUCUGCUGUUGUUCAACACAGUUUAUAACUAAAUCGUUCCUUUUUUCGUUUUUGAUAUUUUCUCCCAUCUCAUACAUGGAUCGAUUUAGCAUCCAACUCAAUAUUUUCCCCAUAAAAAUUUCCACCAUAUGGAAAUAUUCACCUUCCACACUUUUUCGUUGAGCACUCGGAAUGUUAACCGUUAUUGGUGGAUCUCGCACUUAGCACCACCACUUAAUCGGGGAAUCAGCACUUAGCAACCUCUUGGGGGAAUCAGCACAUAGCAACCCCCUUUUUAUUUCAGAGAUACGGUGGAUAUCGCACUUAGCACCACCAAUGAACUGGGGAAUCAGCACUUAGCAACCCCUCGGGGGAAUCAGCACAUAGCAACCCCCUUUCACAUUUCAAAGAUACGGUGGAUAUCGCACAUAGCACCACCAAUGAAUCGGGGAAUCAGCACACAGCAACCCCUUUAUGUACAACAUACUUCGGCUUAUUCCGAGUGUUCAACCCAUAAAUCAUAUAUUGCAACCCUUUACCACCUUUCCCGAUUUAACAACAUUUUUAGGAUAUGGCCAAACAUUUAUUUUAAUUCCAAAUAAAUCUCAACAUAUAUCAAUUAAUGUCAAAAUAAUACAUCAAGUCACGUGUUUACUUACCUCGGUGCAAAAUAUCGUAAUUUUGCACUUCACUCCACUAUCUUUUCUUUUCCUCGUUUGAGAUAAUCUUCAUGUCUUUCUUGAUCUAUAAUAGCAAAUUUAACUCAUUUAAUGUUCACAUUCAUUAAAAUAAUCCACCACCCAACUUUUUGAAAAAUUACAAUUUUGCCCCCAAACUUUUGCAUAAUUACACUUUUGUCCCCAAGCUCGGAAAUUAAACUUCAUCACUUAUUCUUAGGUUUUAUGACAUGCUGAACAUUUUUCCCUUCUAUGGCAACAUCAAAUUCUCACUCUAACAUACACUUAUGAACAAUAAUUAUUUUUACCGAUUAUGCCUAUUUACCCGUUUUCGCUUAAAAUCGCUUAGCAAAAGUUGUUUAACAUAAUUUAUAGCUUCAUAUUCCACCAUAAAACAGCAAAAUAAACACAUUUCACCUAUGGGUAUUUUUCCAAAUAUGAGCCCUAACACGAAUUAUUGCUAGAAUAAGCUAAACCGAGUUACGAGGAUUCCAAAAAUGCGAAGAACAUUAAAAACGGGGCUAGGAUGCACUUACUAUGAGCUUGAGAAAGCAAAGAAACCUUAGCUAUGGCUUCCUUCAAAUUUCGGCAGCAACUAAUGAGGAAGAU